rnacentral:misc_RNA from 1 species
AAAGAUAUAGCAUAUUCUUCUGAAUAUACUUUAUUAACCCAUUCCGAGUACCUUUACCCGUUGCUUCCGCGAGGCUGUCCUCACGGCCCUCUGAAGAUUUAUCUUUGGGGAGUCCUUGCGGAAGGUAUACAAUAAACUCUUGCAUUACCAUGUCCAUCUGUCUGAAAUCUGUUUAAAAAACAAAUAUUAA